rnacentral:tRNA from 1 species
GCCGCGAUAGUUUUAGAAGAUAAAAUGUCUCCCUCGUAAGGAGAAGUACUUGGUUAAAGUCCAAGUUGCGGCA